GAUGAACGCUGGCGGCGUGCCUAAUACAUGCAAGUAGAACGCUGAAGCUUGGUGCUUGCACCGAGCGGAUGAGUUGCGAACGGGUGAGUAACGCGUAGGUAACCUGCCUGGUAGCGGGGGAUAACUAUUGGAAACGAUAGCUAAUACCGCAUAACAGUCGACAUUGCAUGAUGUUGAUUUGAAAGGGGCAAAUGCUCCACUACCAGAUGGACCUGCGUUGUAUUAGCUAGUUGGUGAGGUAACGGCUCACCAAGGCGACGAUACAUAGCCGACCUGAGAGGGUGAUCGGCCACACUGGGACUGAGACACGGCCCAGACUCCUACGGGAGGCAGCAGUAGGGAAUCUUCGGCAAUGGACGGAAGUCUGACCGAGCAACGCCGCGUGAGUGAAGAAGGUUUUCGGAUCGUAAAGCUCUGUUGUAAGAGAAGAACGAGUGUGAGAGUGGAAAGUUCACACUGUGACGGAACUACCAGAAA
rnacentral:rRNA from 1 species